rnacentral:rRNA from 1 species
CAGCAGUGGGGAAUCUUGGACAAUGGGGGCAACCCUGAUCCAGCCAUGCCGCGUGAGUGAUGAAGGCCUUAGGGUCGUAAAGCUCUUUCGCCUGUGAAGAUAAUGACGGUAGCAGGUAAAGAAACCCCGGCUAACUCCGUGCCAGCAGCCGCGGUAAUACGGAGGGGGUUAGCGUUGUUCGGAAUUACUGGGCGUAAAGCGCACGUAGGCGGAUCGGAAAGUUGGGGGUGAAAUCCCGGGGCUCAAACCCCGGAACUGCCUCCAAAACUAUCGGUCUAGAGUUCGAGAGAGGUGAGUGGAAUUCCGAGUGUAGAGGUGAAAUUCGUAGAUAUUCGGAGGAACACCAGUGGCGAAGGCGGCUCACUGGCUCGAUACUGACGCUGAGGUGCGAAAGUGUGGGGAGCAAACAGGAUUAGAUACCCUGGUAGUCCACACCGUAAACGAUGAAUGCCAGUCGUCGGGUAGCAUGCUAUUCGGUGACACACCUAACGGAUUAAGCAUUCCGCCUGGGGAGUACGGUCGCAAGAUUAAAACUCAAAGAAAUUGACGGGGGCCCGCACAAGCGGUGGAGCAUGUGGUUUAAUUCGAAGCAACGCGCAGAACCUUACCAACCCUUGACAUCCUAGGACCGUUCCAGAGAUGGAUCUUUCACUUCGGUGACCUAGUGACAGGUGCUGCAUGGCUGUCGUCAGCUCGUGUCGUGAGAUGUUCGGUUAAGUCCGGCAACGAGCGCAACCCACAUCCUUAGUUGCCAGCAGUUCGGCUGGGCACUCUAGGGAAACUGCCCGUGAUAAGCGGGAGGAAGGUGUGGAUGACGUCAAGUCCUCAUGGCCCUUACGGGUUGGGCUACACACGUGCUACAAUGGCAGUGACAAUGGGUUAAUCCCAAAAAACUGUCUCAGCUCGGAUUGGGGUCUGCAACUCGACCCCAUGAAGUCGGAAUCGCUAGUAAUCGCGUAACAGCAUGACGCGGUGAAUACGUUCCCGGGCCUUGUACACACCGCCCGUCACACCAUGGGAGUUGGUUCUACCCGACGGCCGUGCGCUAACCUUUUGGAGGCAGCGGACCACGGUAGGAUCAGCGACUGGGGUG